rnacentral:rRNA from 1 species
AGAGUUUGAUCCUGGCUCAGAUUGAACGCUGGCGGCGUGCCUAACACAUGCAAGUCGAGCGGUAACAGGUGUAGCAAUACAUGCUGACGAGCGGCGAACGGGUGAGUAAUGCUUCGGAAUCUGCCCUUUGGUGGGGAAUAACUAGCCGAAAGGUUAGCUAAUACCGCAUACGACCUACGGGUGAAAGCAGGGGAUCGCAA